UUCAGCGUCGCUAAUAUACACCACAUACACUCGUGGCGUAGGGUAGUGCUUUUUUUUAUUGUAGGAAAUUAAUUUUUCAGAUUGGCGGUUAGUACCGGCUUAAACUUCGGGCAAUCGUUUGGGUACCUGUCUGAACCUCAAUACGAAAGCUCGCAACAACAAUUUCCCCGAUAUUAGGGCCUCCGCCCGCGGCAUGGGACUUAUGCUCCUCGCCCAACUACAGCUCCGUACCAAAAAUUCCCAGCGCUAGGCCGAGCAGCACAAAGCGGGAGGCGUAAAAGAUCGGCUCAUCAGUCGCUUUGCGGGCGCGAGCCACUUAUGUGUCACGAACCCGAGAUAUAUUGGAGGCCGUCCAAUUCUGCGGAAAUUAUUAAAGCUAUGUAAACGCUUUCGUUUUAGGAACGUUGCCGCAGUCCAUGGAAGCGCUUUCAUCGCUGUUUCAACGCAUUUAUUAAAACAAAUCAAAGGAAGGUCGUAAGUGAUCCCAAAACAUAAAGAUAAAAUAUUGGAGUUUGUUUGUUAUGAGCAACUAUUUAUUGCAUGACCGAAAAAAAAAAAAACCUCACGUAGUCAGGGGCUUCGUCGCUUAAGAGAGGCUGUGCGCUCUCCAUUAUGCCCUGCUGGCAACCAUAAGCGCUUACGCCGCGCAUAAGAACCAGCCCUCUUAAGAACAAGGCACAAAAGGGAAGAUGCGAGGCUGGUCGCUCUGACGUUCUUUUAUGCUUUCUACUUGCGGUUGCUUUCGCUAAUGCACUUGAAUAACUGACCUGCCAUAACGAUCGCGGCGCACAGUUUUUACAUUCCCUUUUGCAUA